rnacentral:lncRNA from 1 species
AGUGUAUUGUGUGACAGAAGUAUUGAUUCCUUCUGGGAUGCAUCUAUUCGGCUCUUAUUUUGGAAAGUAAAAACUAUGAUUUGCCAGUGAAAAUGCUCCAGAUGCUUCCCUGAAGUCUCAGCAGCAGAAGGGAUAGUUUAAAGG